rnacentral:rRNA from 1 species
AAGAUACCUCUUAAGAAUAAAAUCUUUGCAUGGUAUCUUCAUCGCGGAGUCAUUCUUACUAAAGAUAACCUUAUUAAGAGGAAUUGGUAUGGAAGUACACAAUGUGUAUUUUGUCUGCAUGACGAGACAAUAAAACAUUUGUUCUUCCAUUGUAAAUUGGCUCGUUCUAUAUGGCCAGUCAUCCAGAUAGCUUCCGGCCUGUAUCCUCCUUGUAAUGUUGCAAAUCUAUUUAGCAACUGGUUACAUGGGACUGAUCACAGGUUUAGAAUUCUUCUCAGGGUGGGAGCGCUUGUCGUGAUUUGGACGCUCUGGCUAUGUACAAAUGAUAAGGUUUUUAAUGAUAAAAUUACUUCUCUUAUGCAGGUUAUCUACAGAUGUACCGGGACGCUUCGUUUAUGGUCCUCUCUACAGCGAGUGGAGAAUCGAGGCCUAUUUACAGAGGCGUGUACACGAUUGAAGGCUGCAGCAAGUAAUAAAGCGUCCUUUUUCAAAAAUUUAAAAGUCCAAAGAGAUUUUUGUUUAUUUACUGUGUGUGGGACUUCGACUUUCGGAAAGCGCUUUCAUUCUUUUCCACAAAGCCAAUGA